rnacentral:hammerhead_ribozyme from 1 species
AUCCAGCUGACGAGUUCCAAUUAGGACGAAACGCGCGUCCUGGAU